rnacentral:rRNA from 1 species
CCUACGGGAGGCAGCAGUGGGGAAUAUUGGACAAUGGGGGAAACCCUGAUCCAGCGACGCCGCGUGAGUGAAGAAGUAUUUCGGUACGUAAAGCUCUAUCAGCAGGAAAGAAAAUGACGGUACCUGACUAAGAAGCCCCGGCUAACUACGUGCCAGCAGCCGCGGUCAUACGUAGGGGGCAAGCGGUAUCCGGAUUUACUGGGUGUAAAGGGAGCGUAGACGGCAGCGCAAGGCUGGAGUGAAAUGCGGGGGCCCAACCCCGGAACUGCUCUGGAAACUGUGAAGCUGGAGUGCAGGAGAGGUAAGCGGAAUUCCUGGUGUAGCGGUGAAAUGCGUAGAUAUCAGGAGGAACACCGGCGGCGAAGGCGGCUUACUGGACUGUAACUGACGUUGAGGCUCGAAGGCGUGGGGAGCAAACAGGAUUAGAUACCCCAGUAGUC